rnacentral:lncRNA from 1 species
GGAGAAGGGAGUCAAUCGUGAAAUAUAUCGCCGGCGAGCGUUCUUCGGAGAAAAAAAAAAGAGGAGGGAGUCAACCCAUGGCGAUGGCGAGUUCGUCCAAGGGCAGAAGCAAAGGUGACGAGGACAUCAACACUAAUGAUACAUCCAUACCGAUACAAAUACUAAUUUCUGGUUCUAUUACUCGCGCUCGUGCUCGUCAACUUAACCAUCAGGUGAAUACACUCUUGAGUUCAUAUCCAUCUUAUUUAGACCAUGGAGACACGUACACUUGUU